UAGAUUUUCUUAGGUCAGCUCUGCCCUGUGAAUUCCUCCAUUUUGGGAAGUCCGUCUUACCUGUGGUGGGUUUUGUGUGACUUACUGAAGAGAUGACAGAGAAAUUGCACAAUUUGAAGGAAUUACUAUUUUUCAAUCUGUUACCCUAAGGAUGCUCUCAUAUUUGUAGCCCAAGUACAAAGACCAGGUUCUCCAAGUAAUAUCUGGAUCAACUCAGCUGGAUUAUUCCAAAGGGCCAUAGCCCAGGGCUAUUUUCUGCAAGGCUCCUGCCAAGCUACAGCUAUUCCUCUGGAAAUCAUCUCUAAAAACCUACUGCCUCUCUGAGAAUUACAAGCCAGGGCCACAAAUGCUGUGUCAGUCCCCUGGCUGUGCUGGGGAUGUUGGCAGGAAGGGCUCCACUUCAAGGGUAAUGGUGCCUGCCCAGCUUGCUUCUCUCUGGACGAAGAGAAGAGAAGAGAAGAGAAGAGAAGAGAAGAGAAGAGAAGAGAAGAGAAGAGGAGAGGGGUCCAAAGAGGAAUGAGAUGAAGAAGAUGCUCCCUUGUCCUGCUCUGGACAUUCAGAUCUGGGGAAUAUCUUGAAAGCACAAAAUGCAUCAUUUUAAGCUCAAUGUGACUUGACAACUAUUCAAAAAUCACUACUUUUGUCUACAUGUGCCAAACACACUGAGAGGCCAGCAAACAUGAGAAUGAAGGGCAGCUGGGCUUAAUCUAGAGGACUGCAUGGGAAGAAAUGAUCAUAAGUUUGCCAAGAUCAAGAUGUGACCUCCUGAUGAUUCGUCAAGUAAUCAGCACUUGGUUGUUAUUAAGCAGACCUCUUCAGAGAGAAGGUUUUCAAAUGAAUAGACAAUGGACAAUACACAUAACCGGGCAUAGUGAUUGCAUUGAGGACAGUUCCUUUGAGAAGAUUCCUUGUCACAUGAGUAUCAGUUCUCUUAACCAAUUGUAUUCAGGAGAGUUUAUAUGCUGUGAAACUUUAUCUGCUCACCUUGGACUUCUUGCCUAUCAGACAGGUCAUGCAGGAGCUCUUUUAUGACAAAAACUUUUAGGUUUGUUGAAAUGCAUGACUGAAAGGAUUUGGGGCUGGAAGUCAGGUUUCUGGGAUAAAACAGAAGUCAGAGGCUGCCCACUCUUCACAGGCUGCUGAGAGGAGAUAGCUAAUGAACCCAAUAAUGGGACAGGGCUGAAAACCUUGGAUUCUUUCCCCGGUUCUGGCAAAUCGAGACUGCACAUAGUUGAUAGCUCUCAAGCAUCUACUGGUGAAAUCCCUGGGGAAAAAUGUUCUUCAUUCUCCUGCAGAGAAUAAGACUAAUCUAAAGAGCUACAAAAGUUGUAAUUUCUGGAGGAAAACAACAUUUUCUAGCUACUCUAAGAGUUCCUGCAAGUUUACUAGGAAUGGCUGGAGGUGGUAUGAAGAGGAGCAAUGUUGGGACUAAGGCAUCAGCAGACGGUCAACUGUGGUGGAAAGUGAUCCCUUAGAUGAAUUCACUGGGAACUGCACGUGGAUACCUUCUGGGAAAUACUGGUUGGAGUCAUCAAGUCAGUUAUAAUGUUGACUAUUUUCCCCAAAAUGCAUGUCCUACUCUCCUAAAUUCCUACUCACAUUACAGAGGGUUAAACUAGGAUUACACAUGUAGCCGCAUGUCACCAGUACCCUGACCUGCCACUGGAGACACGGAGGGAAGAAGAUCCUACUCCUGUUCUCAUGGAGCUCACCGUCUAAUGAGCAACUAAUAACCAUGUUCCAAUUGAAUGUUAAAAUGAUAGUUUAUGAGUGAUAAAUUAGAUGAUUGGAUGCUAAAAUAGUGAUCAGCUGUUGGGGGCACACUGCCAUGCUCCCACCAACAUCCCAUCUCUUUCUUCUCUUUGUCCUCUGCUCAUUUGUAUGUCACUUUGCAGGGCUUGGAUCGGCUUCUCUCUUGCUACUGCGACUGUCACUAGGCCAAGUUACCACUUUUGGGGCUCUUUCACUCUGGUUCUGUAUUUAUUCUUCAGACUGAACUUAUCUUUCAUGGACCCUCUCUUCACUGCCACCCAUGGCAGGUCUUGGGCUACCCAGCCUGGUCUAGAGCGCAGCCACCCAAAGUGUGGUCUGUGGGUCUACUUGGUACUCGUCUGCAAUGUGAGAAGUAUGAAAAUGAGAGUAAGCACUUAGUAAGUAAACUUUUAAUAGCAACCUUACAGAGUAAUUUUAUAUUCCAAUGAUACUAAUCUAAUUCAAAGUAUUAAUUAAAUAUUAAUCUAAUGUAAUCUAGUAAUUAUAUAAAUUGAGCUUUUUAUUUUGUAUUUCUUUUCAUCUCUCUCUCUCUCUCUCUCUUUUUUGUAAUUUAUUUGGAAUACAUUUCACAAAUUUUGGUCUUCUGAAUAUUGAGGAAAAACAAAAUUGCCCUUUAUACAAGUGGUUUGAGAAGAACUGGUCUGGAGGCCCCAUCAGGUUGCUAGACCCCAAUGAUCUCAUCCUUUGUCUUUCAUCUUACCUCUCUUACUCAUUCUGAGCACAGAAUGACCCAAACCGCUCCUCAGAGAGGCUGGUCCAACUGAUCACACUUAAUAAACAGAGAGUGUUCUAGGCUAGCUCUGCUCGG
rnacentral:lncRNA from 12 species